CUUAACAAGUAGGUAUGUCACAGGGGCAUUAGGUUUUGUUAUAUUUUAUGCUAUUUGCUCUAGUAAUUAAUGAUUAUUUUCUAUUUUUGUGCUUUGGACUAUAUUAUAAAUUUAGAAGCAUAAGGGACCAUCAAAAAAAACAAAGAUGCUGAGAUGAUGAAACUUGGGCCUACCUACAACUUCAGUGGUAUGAUCGCCAGGAGAGUGUAUCUUCUGUACCAGGUCACAGGAGUUCAGUUCAGAGUUGUACAGUAGAAAGAGCAUGCCUGCAGUCUCUUGAAGACAUCAGACUUCUUAUGCUCUCAGAAGAACAGUCAAAGAGAAAUGCACACUACUUGGAAGACUGGAGUGAGUGGAGGCCCAAGGGUUAA
rnacentral:lncRNA from 1 species